rnacentral:rRNA from 1 species
UACGAAGGGGGCUAGCGUUGUUCGGAAUUACUGGGCGUAAAGCGCACGUGGGCGGAUUGUUAAGUUAGGGGUGAAAUCCCAGGGCUCAACCCUGGAACUGCCUUUAAUACUGGCAAUCUCGAGUCCGAGAGAGGUGAGUGGAAUUCCGAGUGUAGAGGUGAAAUUCGUAGAUAUUCGGAGGAACACCAGUGGCGAAGGCGGCUCACUGGCUCGGUACUGACGCUGAGGUGCGAAAGCGUGGGGAGCAAACAGG